rnacentral:rRNA from 1 species
ACGGGUGCGGAACACGUACGCAACCUUCCCAGAACUGGUGAAUAGCCUUUCGAAAGAGAGAUUAAUACACCGUAACUUAAUGAAGUGGCAUCACUUUAUUAAUAUAGUUCCGACGGUUCUGGAUGGGCGUGCGCCUGAUUAGGUAGUUGGCGGGGUAACGGCCCACCAAGCCUACGAUCAGUAACUGGUGUGAGAGCACGACCAGUCACACGGGCACUGAGACACGGGCCCGACUCCUACGGGAGGCAGCAGUAAGGAAUAUUGGUCAAUGGACGCGAGUCUGAACCAGCCAUGCCGCGUGGAGGAUGAAGGUCCUCUGGAUUGUAAACUUCUUUUAUCGGAGAAGAAACCCAGACAUUCUUGUUUGGUUGACGGUACCCGAUGAAUAAGCACCGGCUAACUCCGUGCCAGCAGCCGCGGUAAUACGGAGGGUGCAAGCGUUAUCCGGAUUCACUGGGUUUAAAGGGUGCGUAGGUGGGCUAGUAAGUCCGUGGUGAAAUCUCUGAGCUUAACUCGGAAACUGCCGUGGAUACUAUUAGUCUUGAAUCUCGUGGAGGUAAGCGGAAUAUGUCAUGUAGCGG